GAUGAACGCUGGCGGCGUGCCUAAUACAUGCAAGUCGAGCGAAGCGGGGACGGGUGAGUAACACGUGGAUAACCUCCUAUAAGACUGGGAUAACUUCGGGAAACCGGAGCUAAACCGGAUACUUAUACAUGGAUCCACGCUGCAUUAGCUAGUUGGUAAGGUAACGGCUUACCAAGGCAACGAUGCAUAGCCGACCUGAGAGGGUGACCGACCACACUGGAACUGUGCAACGGUCCAGACUCCUACGGGAGGCAGCAGUAGGGAAUCUUCCGCAAUGGGCGAAAGCCUGACGAGACAACGCCGCGUGAGUGAUGAAGAUCUUCGGAUCGUAAAACCCUGUAAGUAGGGAAACGGUACCGAAUCAGAAAGCCACGGCUAACUACGUGCCAGCAGCCGCGGUAAUAC
rnacentral:rRNA from 1 species